rnacentral:rRNA from 1 species
GAUGAACGCUGGCGGCGUGCCUAAUACAUGCAAGUCGAGCGAACAGACGAGGAGCUUGCUCCUCUGACGUUAGCGGCGGACGGGUGAGUAACACGUGGAUAACCUACCUAUAAGACUGGGAUAACUUCGGGAAACCGGAGCUAAUACCGGAUAACAUGUUGAACCGCAUGGUUUAACAGUGAAAGACGGUCUUGCUGUCACUUAUAGAUGGAUCCGCGCCGCAUUAGCUAGUUGGUAAGGUAACGGCUUACCAAGGCAACGAUGCGUAGCCGACCUGAGAGGGUGAUCGGCCACACUGGAACUGAGACACGGUCCAGACUCCUACGGGAGGCAGCAGUAGGGAAUCUUCCGCAAUGGGCGAAAGCCUGACGGAGCAACGCCGCGUGAGUGAAGAAGGUCUUCGGAUCGUAAAACUCUGUUAUUAGGGAAGAACAAAUGUGUAAGUAACUAUGCACGUCUUGACGGUACCUAAUCAAAAAGCCACGGCUAACUACGUG